rnacentral:lncRNA from 1 species
AGGAGCUUGGAAGACAAGCUGUUUUCCUCCAGCAAUUCCAUCAAUAAGAAGAAAAUGGGAAAUGAGUACUGAUUUAUGGCUGAUUCUUCAUAACAAAUAGCUCCAGAAUGGAUCCUACUCAGAAGCAUGAAUUAUUUGAUGAAAAUCUCAGUGUCAACGUGUGCAGGAUGUUUCCUUGGUCAAGGGUGCCAGAGGGGUUCAGAAAACAGCAUGGGUCAUUGCCUUUGCUCUUGGUUGCCUACUGAAACUAGAUAGUAAAACCAUAUUACUGAGGACACAACACACUUUGACUCCAGGACAUACUGAAAUCAAGCUGGAAUUGACCUGAAAACUUCCUCCCUGAUGGCUAGCUUAACAGUGUUAGAAGGCACAAAGCAGGCUUCUGGGGGAGAAGAGUCACCAACAGUCUUUCUGUAUGCUGAAUCCUGAACUCUGGAAUACUAAUCUACAAGACAAGAUAUGCUCCUUAGUAAAAUAGCCACACAGAGAUUAUGGAGGAAACACUGAUCCAGUUGACAGUUGGGAAGGAAAUUUCCCAAACAGAUCAUUUCUGGCAUCCUUGGAAAGAUUUCCGAGUAGUUCUACAUGAUGGGAAGACCCUGCGUCAACAUACCUCAAGUUUAUAUCCACUGAGUGUCUUUAAUUAAAAGAAAUUCAUCUGCCAGCAGGACAAGAACACAGAGCUCAAGAGAGAGGAGUUGUGCAGGAACAACAGUGACUGGAGCAAGAAACCCUCUACACAUUGUCACCAGCAUUCUCAGAGCCUGGGAGGACCUCAGAGACCUAACCAUAAUGGAUCCAUUUACAACACAACUCAACCAAAGGCGCAGGGAACCUCAUGCAAAAGGGUAUAGAAAGAUUUAAGAGCCAGAAGAACAGUAAAUCGGCUGUAAAUUUCUGCCUUGUGGGAAUGGCAGGAAAGCUUCAUCCAAUAUACCUUAGCAACACGGCUGCCUGUGCAAGAACUUAAAGUACAACACCGAGAGACAUGCUAACAUGGAAGCAGGAAAUCUCAUGGGCCUCCUCACCUCUAAACAAAGAACUACAGACAACUAAAGAAGGUGGACAGUGGGAGAAAUAGUCUUCCCAAGGAAUUAGCUCCUCAACUAGCUAUUUGGUACUAAGGAGUCAGUCUUGAAAUCAUAUACGUACAAGGAACACUAAAUAGACAGAGCAGGUUGUAUUUGUUUAGUUAUAUGUGCAUGUGUUAAAGUGUGUGUGUUUAUAACCUUUUUAAUGUUUAAAAAAAGGAGUACUAUUUGGAAAAAAACUGACAAUAUAGGCACUUUGGAUGAAGGGCUCACUUCAGGGUCAUUUUAUCAAUGUCCAUGCUCAUUGAUAUACAGUGGAAACUGCCCAGCGGCUAACCUGAAGCACAUCCCAAAGUGCACAGAAAAGCUGGACCAAGUAGAUUUCAAGAGUUGCCAAGGCCAAAAACAGCAACAAUCCCAAACAAGGAUACCUGAGGAAACUGAGUCAGAUCUCCAUCUUUCUCACCUCUGCUUGGGGUAGCACAGUUAGAAUUGUCCUGGUUUGAUCUGAGUCAUAAUUGCUGCUAUUUGUGGGAGUUGUCAGAUGAGAGAGAUGACCCCUUCCUUUCCCAGAAAAGAAAGAUAAGGCAUUCUCUCGGUUGCGAGGAGCAGAGGUCAGCAUCAUUGGCUUUGAAUGAAAAAUUUGUAUGUUAUAUCCCAAACAGAGAAAAUAGGAAGUAUUGAUUUCAGGAUACUGUCUUAGUGUGCUGGAGAUGUUCUACAAUAUAUGAGAUAGAUUAAGCAAUAGUUUAAGGAGUCAUUUCCUCUUUCUCCAGUUCUGGAGGCUUGAAAAUCUAAGCUUAAGGAGCUGGAAGAUUUGGUAUGGUGAUAACUGCUUCCAGGUUGACAGGAAGUGCCUUCUUGCUAUGUAUUGAUAGGGCACAAGAAGUAACCAACCCCCUUGGCUGUCUCUCAAAAGGCCAUUGAUCCUACCAGUGAGAACACUACCAGCAUCAUGAUUGAAUCACCUUCCUACUAUCCUCAUUCUAGAGAUUAGAGUCAGUAUAUAGAGAUCACAAUACAGGCUUCUGAGGCUCAAAGUCGCUGACUUUGAAGAAGUUUUGUAACAUAAUGGGUAGCCAAGAGUGUUAAUAUCUUGCUUGAAUUUUCCAUUGUCCAGAAUCGAUUCUUCUUUUUUUUGUCACCACUCUUUCUUUGAGAAUUCACUGCUUGCAAAAGAUACCAAUGUAGUAGUAACUAAGGACCAGGUCAUUCCACACCCAAGGGACAAGCAUAAGAUUUCAUUUCAGCCAACUGGAUGACCUCUUCCAGUAUUUAAAGCUGAUCAGACCAUUAAAGAUACUGGAUGGAAGUAGAAAUCAAUGCAUCUUCAUGAUGGUUCCUGCUCAGGCCACUGGCAUGUCCUGCUUCUCUGUCUCUAAAGCUAUCUAAUUCUUUUUCUAUUUAGUUAAAUUUUAUUACAUUUAUUUAUGUCUUGUUUAUCUAUGUAUUAUGUAUCUAUCUAUCUGUCUGUCUAUCUAUCUAUCUAUCUAUCUAUCUAUCUAUCUAUCUAUCAUCUAUCUUUUUGUAUCUAUCAUCUAUCACCUAUCUACUUACUUACUUAUUUACCUACCUACCUAACUACCUACCUACCUACCUACCUACUUACUUACUUACCUACCUACCUAGUUAUCUAUCUACUUAUUUACUUACUUACUUACCUACCUAUGUACCUACCCACCAAUGUACCUACCUACCUACCUACCUACCUACCUACCUACCUACCUACUUACCUACCUACCUACCUUCCUACCUACCUACCUACCUACCUACCUACCUACCUACCUACCUACUUACCUACCUACCUACCUUCCUACCUACCUACCUACCUACCUACCUACCUACCUUCCUACCUACCUACCUACCUACCUACCUACCUACCUACCUACCUACCUUCCUACCUACCUACCUACCUACCUACCUACCUACCUACCUACUUACCUACCUACCUACCUUCCUACCUACCUACCUACCUACCUACCUACCUACCUACCUACCUUCCUACCUACCUACCUACCUACCUACCUACCUACCUACCUACCUACUUACCUACCCACCUACCUUCCUACCUACCUACUUACCUACCUACCUACCUACCUACCUACCUACCUACCUACCUACCUAUAUGUCUACUUACUUACUGACUGACUGACUGACUGACUGACUGACUGACUGAUUGACUGACUGACUUACUUAUUUUGUGUAGAGAGGUUUAUGCAUGCCUUGGAAUACCUGUAAAGGUCAGAGAACAACUCAAGAAAAUCACUUCUCUCCUUCUACCAUGUGGGUCCCAGGGAUCAAAUUCAGGUUGUGAAGAUUAGAUACAAGAGCCCUUUAUACACUGAAUCAUCUCACCAGCCCAUAGCAAUCUAAUUUCCUGUUGUAUCCACAGAAUCUUCAAACCUCUUCAAAAAUUCAAUGACUCUCUAGGAUCCUUCUAAUAAACUCAUUCUAGCUCUACUUAGCCAUAGUUUAUUUCUGUGGCUUGUAAUCAAAAGCAUGUAAUGAAUGCACAUCAAUAUUUAGACAAUGGUUGACAUUUCAGGAUGCAUUUAUUCAUUUGUUCCCCCACUCACUCCUAAAAUAAUCUGAUAUUAAUAUACCACAUUAUUUUC